rnacentral:rRNA from 1 species
AACGAACGCUGGCGGCAGGCUUAACACAUGCAAGUCGAACGCAUCCUUCGGGGUGAGUGGCAGACGGGUGAGUAACGCGUGGGAACGUGCCCUUCAGUUCGGGAUAACCCAGGGAAACUUGGGCUAAUACCGGAUACGUGCGAGAGCAGAAAGAUUUAUCGCUGAAGGAUCGGCCCGCGUCUGAUUAGCUAGUUGGUGGGGUAAUGGCCCACCAAGGCGACGAUCAGUAGCUGGUCUGAGAGGAUGAUCAGCCACAUUGGGACUGAGACACGGCCUAAACUCCUACGGGAGGCAGCAGUGGGGAAUAUUGGACAAUGGGCGCAAGCCUGAUCCAGCCAUGCCGCGUGAGUGAUGAAGGCCUUAGGGUCGUAAAGCUCUUUCGUCCGGGACGAUAAUGACGGUACCGGAAGAAGAAGCCCCGGCUAACUUCGUGCCAGCAGCCGCCGUAA